rnacentral:rRNA from 1 species
AACAUCGUCUUUUGAAUAUAUAGAAGAUAUAACCUGCCCACUGAAAAUUGAAGGGCCGCGGUAUUGUGACCGUGCAAAGGUAGCAUAAUCAUUAGUCUUCUAAUUAAAGGCUGGAAUGAAUGGUUGGACGAGGUAAAAGCUGUCUCACCCAAAAUAUUUAAAAUUUAACGUUUUAGUGAAAAGGCUAAAAUGAAGUUGGAGGACGAGAAGACCCUAUAGAGCUUAAUAAUGAAAUUAAGAUGUAAUUUAGAAAAAGUAUUAUUUUUAAUUAAUUUAUUUUGUUGGGGUGACAGGAAAAUAAAUAAACUUUUUUAUAGGGAGUACAUAAAUGAAUGGAUAU